ACUGCCCAGUAUUCUACUGAUGAGAUCGAGAAAAUUUUGGUGGAAUUAAUAAGAAAUAAUGACACGACACAUAUUAAAUUUGACAACUACGACAAUAAAUCCUGCGAGCCUUAUGUGUCGGUGAGGCCUAAGUUCACAGACUUACGGCGAAGACUCAGUGAAACUAAAUGUUAUGAAUAUAUAUGGGAGUUAGAAAAUCGAGAAAAUGAAACUCUACAUCAAGAGACAUG